UACGUAGGGACCAAGCGUUGUCCGGAUUUAUUGGGGCGUAAAGAGCUCGUAGGCGACCCUCCACGUCGGAUGUGAAAGCUCAGGGCUCAACCCUGAGAUGCCAUUCGAUACGGGAAGGCUAGAGGUAGGUAGGGGAAAGUGGAAUUCCUGGUGUAGCGGUGAAAUGCGCAGAUACUCAGGAGGAACACCGGUGGCGAAGGCGGGAUCUCUGGGCCUUACCUGACGCUGAGGCGCGAAAGCGUGGGGAGCGAACAGG
rnacentral:rRNA from 1 species